AAGUUUGUUUCAAAACAACGUACACCUUUAUAUUGAGAAAUUUGUUUACAAUUUAUCACAAUGCGUAAAAUGGAAGGAUUUUAAAACAUCAAGGUUGCAAUGUUAGAAAAUUAAAACUUUAUCAUCUAGUGUUAAACGUAAUUGUGUGUGAGAUGUGUUUAGCCCAACAAAACAUAUUUAAAUUUUAAUGGUUAAUGCAUGUGUACUUCAUAAUGCAUGAACGAUAAGAAAUUAUUUAAGUACGUUGCUAAUAGCAAUAUAAUAUUUUGUAAAUUGAUAUUACAAGUACGUUAGUGUACACUAUAACAAAAUACAUAAUCAUCGAAAAAGACUUGUAAAUUGCACAUGAUUUUUUCUUUUUAUUUUUUAUUUUUUAUUUUAUUUUAGAAAAGACUUGAAAGGUACUUUCCCAUUUUUCUCAUGGGAUAACUCUCUCAAAUUAGAUAUAGAAUUAUGGAUCAAAUAUGAAACCUUAUUUUUAGCAUGGGUACCAUAUACAAACACACACGAAGAAUUUACACACACACAUAUAUAUUGUGGAAACAUAAAAUAUUGGCGACCAAUGGGAUUUUUAGCAUGGGUACCAUAUACAAACACACACGAAGAAUUUACACACACACAUAUAUAUUGUGGAAACAUAAAAUAUUGGCGACCAAUGGGAACUGGCAAGUGUAUAACUUAUCAAAUAUGACUACUAACAGAAUACGCACAUCAUUAAUCCAACCUUAACAGGAUAACGGGUCACAGUCUCUACCAAGACCUUAGAAGCCACAAUCAACAUACCUGAUACCUUAGGCCCAAUUAUUCGCCAACAAUCCAAGUUGAUCACCAUGCGACCUACGCAUAUUAUCUUGAUUUUCAACAGCUUGCCUAUUAGUCUUUGCAUAUUCCAGGAAUUUCAGUGACACAUCACAACACGGAAUGUCCACUAAGACUCCAAACCAAGCUGUGUUGGCCGACACCUGAAAGGUGAUGAAGCCAUAAAGUGUAGUGAUGUGGAAAAAUGUGAAUAAAUUUAAACCUAAAGGUGCCUAAAUAUAAGAGUGCGUUGUGAGGGGGAAUGAAUCAAUUUCACCUGUGAUGACGGAGCAUAAGUAAAGUACAGUAAGGUAGGAUAAGGAUUAUACCAUUAUAGGUAGCCACCUAUAUUGAGAUUUGCCAAGAAUCCUUGUUGAUAAGAAAGCUCAACUACUAAAACCUGGAAGGGCGAAAAAUAAGGGUGAGUGGGCCAGAAAAUAAAGUUUUAUAAAAAUCUUUCUGAAAACAUUGUAACCCCUUGCCGUAAAACAAGUAUAAUUUCAAAAAUAUACUUACUACAUAGAGUAUAAAAAUACUUACCGUAGCCUGCAAAAUCUCAAGAAUUCAUUACGGCACAUAUCUCAACAGUAAUAUAAGUAAAAUCAGGUGUUCAAUCAAUCUAUACUAGCAUACAAGUCAGAGUCGCCUAAUGUGACCUGUACGACUGAACUGAUGCUCAUCAAUCUGUACUAGCACACAAGUCGGGGUCGCCUAAUGCGACAUGUACGAUAGAACUAGGUGUAAUUAUAAUAUACGCUCUAGUGCUACAAUCACGUGAAGACUGGCGCUAUUCGUGGUCACCUACAAGUCGGAGUUGCCUAAUGCAACCUGUACGACAAGACUGGUAUCUACUUGAAUCCAAGGCGAGCGUGCGAUGCGAAGGUGAACAUACACAUGAAAGAUUGGCCCUUGCCUUGGGCAAGCAUUAACACCGGGAUGUAGCAAUGAUGAGCAAACUACAUAAAUAUACGCAUGCCACAGUGAUUCGAUAGUUCUAAUUAACAUACUAACAUUCAUAGCCAUAGAUAUAAUUAUGGCAUCAAAGAUUCUAAGCAUACCUGUGCAUCCCGGAGGAUGUAGCAUAUUUCAUAAAUUUCGUCAUUUUGCUAAUUCUUAUAAACUUUAGUCUAAUCUAGGUGCACGUAAGAAAUUUUUCAAAUGCAUAAAUGGAAACUAUCAACCAUAUAUAUACUAUAAAAAGGAAAAGACCCACUUGCCUGAAGUCCAAGCUACAACUCUGUAGCAUGAAUAUCGAGGCGCCACGAAUGAUCGUCGCCUAGAACAAUUAUCAAAUCAUGUCUCAAAAUUCUUAUUGAUAGAACACAUAACUUACAUAAAAUACAUCCCCAAUGACGUUCUAGAAUGAUUUGUAACUCAUUAACCAAAAGUCAACCGUCAGUCAAAUGUCAACGGCAGGGUCCACAACCCUACAUAACUCAUUCGGGAAGAUUCGCACCUCGAAUUUUUUAUCCGUAACUUCCCAAGAGUUUCAAUAAGCUUCUAGAACAACAUCCUAAAGUUUCGGAAUGAUCCAACGGUCAGAUCUCCGUCAAUCGCUAAAAUUAAGUGGUGGCCAACGUUUAGAUUUAGAAACUUAGAAAACCCAUCCAUCAGUUCCUAAUAUCCUUAAAUAUUACGUAAUAUCAUGUAUUAAAGUUUGGUGACGAUCCAACGAUCGGAUCAUCAAAUCAUAUAAGGAUCAAGUGGCGGUCUCUAUCAAAACUAUGUUCAAACGAUGAGAUUUCAACAAUCGGACUUCAACUAUGGAAUUGGGGUAUCAAAUUUAGCCUAGGAAGGUCA
rnacentral:lncRNA from 1 species